rnacentral:rRNA from 1 species
GAUGAACGCUGGCGGCGUGCCUAAUACAUGCAAGUCGAGCGAACAGACGAGGAGCUUGCUCCUCUGACGUUAGCGGCGGACGGGUGAGUAACACGUGGAUAACCUACCUAUAAGACUGGGAUAACUUCGGGAAACCGGAGCUAAUACCGGAUAAUAUAUUGAACCGCAUGGUUCAAUAGUGAAAGACGGUUUUGCUGUCACUUAUAGAUGGAUCCGCGCCGCAUUAGCUAGUUGGUAAGGUAACGGCUUACCAAGGCAACGAUGCGUAGCCGACCUGAGAGGGGGCACGGCAACAGGGAAAGUGAAACGGGGCCCAGACCCCAGGGGGGGGGAGGAGGAGGAAAUUUGCCGAAAGGGGAAAAGGCUUGACGGAAAAACCGCGGGUGAGUGAAGAAGGUUUUGGGAGCGAAAAACUUUUUUUUGGGGGAAAAAAAAAGGGGAAAAUAAUUUUGCACGUUUAGAAGGAACCAAAAAAAAAAGCCAGGGAAAAACACG